rnacentral:rRNA from 1 species
AUUGAACGCUGGCGGCAGGCCUAACACAUGCAAGUCGAGCGGAUGAAGGGAGCUUGCUCCUGGAUUCAGCGGCGGACGGGUGAGUAAUGCCUAGGAAUCUGCCUGGUAGUGGGGGAUAACGUCCGGAAACGGGCGCUAAUACCGCAUACGUCCUGAGGGAGAAAGUGGGGAACUUCGGAACUCCAGCUUACAGGAUAAGCCUAGGUCGGAUUAGCUAGUUGGUGGGGUAAAGGCCUACCAAGGCGACGAUCCGUAACUGGUCUGAGAGGAUGAUCAGUCACACUGGAACUGAGACACGGUCCAGACUCCUACGGGAGGCAGCAGUGGGGAAUAUUGGACAAUGGGCGAAAGCCUGAUCCAGCCAUGCCGCGUGUGUGAAGAAGGUCUUCGGAUUGUAAAGCACUUUAAGUUGGGAGGAAGGGCAGUAAGUUAAUACCUUGCUGUUUUGACGUUACCAACAGAAUAAGCACCGGCUAACUUCGUG